rnacentral:rRNA from 1 species
UGGGGAAUCUUGGACAAUGGGGGCAACCCUGAUCCAGCCAUGCCGCGUGAGUGAUGAAGGCCUUAGGGUCGUAAAGCUCUUUCGCCUGUGAAGAUAAUGACGGUAGCAGGUAAAGAAACCCCGGCUAACUCCGUGCCAGCAGCCGCGGUAAUACGGAGGGGGUUAGCGUUGUUCGGAAUUACUGGGCGUAAAGCGCACGUAGGCGGACCAGAAAGUUGGGGGUGAAAUCCCGGGGGCUCAACCCCGGAACUGCCUCCAAAACUAUUGGUCUAGAGUUCGAGAGAGGUGAGUGGAAUUCCAAGUGUAGAGGUGAAAUUCGUAGAUAUUUGGAGGAACACCAGUGGCGAAGGCGGCUCACUGGCUCGAUACUGACGCUGAGGUGCGAAAGUGUGGGGAGCAAACAGGAUUAGAUACCCUGGUAGUCCACACCGUAAAACGAUG